rnacentral:lncRNA from 1 species
GAUCCUCUCUCCUCCCCGAGCGGCUCACCGGCUUUACGUCGGUUGGUGGCCGCGUCUGGGACCGAACCGGGCACCGCCUUGUGGAAAAAAAAGAAUAGAAUAUACCCUGUUAAAUCAGACAUGAUACUUGCUUUUGUGGAGCUUAUGCUUUAGUGCAGAAACAGAAAGUCAAGCAAAAACUCAAACUAUGUAACUUUAAAUUGGAUAUGUGCUAAUGAAGGAAAAUGUGGCACUGUAAGAAAAAAUAAUAGGGAGUUAAAGGAUAAAUAGGAGUUUGCUGGAUGAAAUUUAUGAAGAGCUGAAGAUUUCAAACAAAAGAAACUGAUGCAGGAGGGUGCAGCUUUGGAGUCAAGAAUGAAGUUCUAGGAGAUAGAGAGCAAAGAAAUGGUGGGAGAGGAGGUCAAAAAAUACUAGGCUUUAGAAUUUCACCAUAUGAAUUUUGGGAGAGAGGAGCACAGUUCAGCCCAUAACUAACACACGACGGAAUGAAGUUGAUAAUAGUGAGACCUUGUUGGUACAAGACUAUGUAACAUAACCUGCGCUUCUCAACAAAGAAUUGCUUUUCUGACUUCUGCACUCAAUAGCAAGACAAAUCUCUCCUCUGCCUUCUCCUUAUCAGACUACUCAACAUGAAGGCAAUAAGAAUGAAGACCUCUAUGUAUAAUAAUUGACUUCCACUUAAUAAAUAAGGUUACUUGGUACACUGGUCGACAAAACCUUGAAAUGUUGAUGUUUAAGGGCUGUUGAUUGCUGGCAGCAAAGAAGUCCAACUGUGCUGGUACCCGAGAUAGCGUCUCCACAUUUUCUUCCAGGAUC